AGAGUUUGAUCAUGGCUCAGGAUGAACGCUAGCGGCAGGCCUAACACAUGCAAGUCGAGGGGCAGCAGGGGGUAGCAAUACCCCGCUGGCGACCGGCGGACGGGUGCGUAACGCGUAUGCAACCUACCCGUAACAGGGGGGAUAACGGAGGGAAACCUCCACUAAUGCCCCAUAUAGUCAGGGGACCGCAUGGUUUCGUGACGAAAGCUUCGGUGGUUACGGACGGGCAUGCGUGGCAUUAGGCGGUUGGCGGGGUAACGGCCCACCAAACCUACGAUGCCUAGGGGAGCUGAGAGGCUAAUCCCCCACACUGGUACUGAGACACGGACCAGACUCCUACGGGAGGCAGCAGUGAGGAAUAUUGGUCAAUGGACGGAAGUCUGAACCAGCCAUGCCGCGUGAAGGAAAGACGGCCCUAUGGGUUGUAAACUUCUUUUAGCCGGGAGUAAUAAGGCGCACGUGCUGCGCCGAUGAAAGUACCGGCGGAAUAAGCAUCGGCUAACUCCGUGCCAGCAGCAGC
rnacentral:rRNA from 1 species